GUCUACAGCCAUACCUCCCUCAACAAACCCGAUCCCAUCAGAUCUUGGAAGCUAAGCAGGGUAGGGCCUGGUUAGUACUUGGAUGGGAGAUAACCUAGGAAGACCAGGUGCUAUAGGCA
ensembl:rRNA 5S_rRNA 5S ribosomal RNA